UCAAUUUUCUACAUAUAGUGGAAGUCAAUGUCUCAACCUACGGUGGCACGUAGUUCUGGGGUAUGAAACCGUAGUAACAUACCCAACUCGGUGCUAAAUAAUACUCCCAAUACUAUACUCAAAAAUCUCAAGAAAAAUCCUCUUUAAGGCUAAUCUCAUAUUUCUUAAGUUAAAUAAAUGAUAAAAUCCGUAAAUCGUUUCAUGAAGUGGACUUUAACUCUGUUGUGACCAAAAGGUCAAAUCUUUCUAUACUUCAUCAAAAAUAGUCCAAACAUGGGUGCAUGCAGCACAUAACUUCUCAAAACAACAAUCUCAAUGUGAGUUAAUGACCCUUAUAGCGAUACUUAAUCAAAACAUUUCAACAUUUAUGCUUUAUAUCACAAGCAUGCAUAGUUUAUAUGGAAAUCUGAAAAAUUUCAGCCUUUAAUCAUAACAAUAAUCUCAAAAUCAUGGAGUUUAUUUUCUAAACAUUCAAAAUAAUUAUAGUAUCUUGAACAAUAACAUAGGAUAAGAUUUCUCACUUCAAAUUCAUGAUAGAACAUGCAAAAAGCAUGUAUCUUUGUAAAAUAAUGCAAACUUUGGGCACAAGAACGAAAGGGUGUUCUUGUUCAUAACCCCACAUACCUUUAUGGUAACAGAUUCGUUGAAAGAUUGGACCCUCAAUGUUCAUUGUGUAACCCUAGUUGUUUUUCUCCUUUAGUACUCUUGGAUGAUGAACUUAGACUGAUAAUAGGGUUAUGAUGUGUUUAGAAUUUAUUAAAUUUGUAAAGUUAAGUUUACGGGUGUAUAAGGAGUUCCAAAAGACUUAAUUGCCCUCAAAAUAACCCAAAAAUGGUGUGUUUAAGUCACUUGAAACCAUAAGAUAUGCAGCACAUAUGAUAUCGCCUAUAUUUACAUAGGCACCGCAUAUGAUAUCGCCUAUAUUUACAUAGGCGCCACAUAUGAUAUCACCUAUAUUUACAUAGGCGCCGCAUAUGCUAUCACAUAUGCUUUCUAGUGGCCAUGUCCGAUUGGUUAGGCGAUGCACUCUACUUCGCAAAGCCAUAACUCCUAGCUCGGGUGUCGGAUUUUGGUAAAAUUGAUAUCGUUGGAAACCUAAUUGGAUUAUCUAUAAUUUUGUGGGUAGAAAUAUGCAGAAAUACCACAUAUUUAUCAAGCUAUGCUCAUUCAAAGAUGACCCUUAUGAAUUCAAACACUAAAACUUGAUGGAUUUCGAAACUCUUAGAUUGUAUUACCUUAAGUGACUCAUAUAACCACACUUAACACAUCAUAAGCUCUAUUAUAACUAGGGUACUCUUGAUAAUUUAGGUGCCCAAAUAUGGCUUACAAAAUUGGGGUUUUCACAUAUACGAACAACGGUUCGUUUUCUAGCUUAGGAAAGUGCGGGGCAUUACAAUAUCUCCCCCUUGGGGACAUUCGUCCUCGAAUGACACUGGGUAUACUAAGAUUAAAGAGAAAAUGAAGGGUACACAACUGAAGCAACUUGAUAAUCUUGCCUCUAUUUCAUUCUACAUUUUGGACACAACAAGGGGUGCAUCACUCAUGAAAUCACAUCUGAAUAGUAUAAAAUAACUGUUGAACUACUGCAAUUAUGCAUAGAAAAGGAAUGGUUUAAAGUAUAAUGGUACCUUCAGCUUGAUCGGAGCUUAUUAAAAAUAGGUGCGGGUACUUGGAUCGAAUAUCUGCCUCAGCUUCCCAUGUUGCACCCUCAACAGAUUGGUUUUGCCACAACACCUUGACCAAGGAAACUUCUUUGUUCGUUAGUCUUCGGACUUGGUGAUCUAAAAUCUCAAUAGGAACUUUCUCAAAAGAAAUACUAUCUUUCACAUCAGGGUUUUCUAAAGGAUAUACAACAACACAAUCACCAACGUAUUUCCUAAGUAUAUAUACAUGGAAGAUAGAGUGAAUGGAAGAUAACUCUGAAGGCAACUCAGCCUCAUACGCUACCUUACCAACACGGCUAAGAACUCUGUAGGGGCCAACAUAACAGGGACUAAGUUUCCCCUUCUUUCCAAAUCUCUUCACUCCCUUCAUGGGUGAAAUCUUCAAAUACACCAAGUCACCAACUUCAAAUUCAAGUUCUCUUCUCCUGACAUCAGUAUACGACUUCUGACGACUCUGUGCAGUUUUUAAUCUUUCUCUAAUCACUUUGACUUUUUCCAUAGCUUUAAAGACCAAAUUAGGACCACUCACGGCCACUUCAUCUACUUCAAACUAACCUAUGGGUGACCUACAUUUCCUCUCAUACAAAGCCUCAAAUGGAUCCAUGCCAAUGCUAGAGUGAAAAUUGUUAUUGUAAGCAAACUCUAUCAAUGGUAAAUGCUCAUCCCAACUCCCCUUAAUGUCAAGAGCACACGCUCUCAACAUAUCCUCUAAGGUUUGGAUGGUCCUCUCAGCCUGACCAUCUAUCUACGGAUGGAAAGCUCUUGGGUACCAAGACCCUUCUGAAAAGCUCUCUAAAACUGCAAAGUGAACUGAGUACCCCUAUCUGAAAUGAUGGACAAGGGAACUACAUGAAAUUUGACUAAUUCCUGGAUGUACAAUCUAGCGUGAUCCUCAGCAGUAUAAGAAGUAUGCACAGUCAAGAAGUGUGCAGACUUAGUCAAUCUAUCCAUAACAACCUAAAUGGAAUCAUGAUGGCAUUGGGAAGGAGGUAAACCAGUCACAAAAUCCAUGUUUAUCUCUUCCCACUUCCAAGUGGGAAUACCAAACUUCUGCAUCAUACCACCAGGUCAUUGGUUUUCUACCUUAACCUGUUGGUACAUCAUAUAAUUAGCCACAAAUACUGCUAUAUCCUUCUUCAUGCCACUCCACCAAUAGAUUUGCCGCAAUUUGCGGUACAUCUUGGUGGCACCAGGAUGAAUAAAAUAUCGCGCACCAUGCGCUUAAGCCAUAAUUCUCUGUCUCAGAUCCUCGACAUCCGGAACACAUAAUCUAUCCUGCAAUCUCAACACUCCAUCCCCUCCUUGGGAGAAAACCUCCACCUUUUGGUCCUUGACUAAUUCUUUUAGUUUGACCAAACUAGCAUCUAAGUUUUGCUUCUCCUUUACUUCCAAAACCAAGGAGGAUUCGGAGCUACUCUAUACUAACAUACUUCCUUCAACGGAGUCAAACAACCUAACUCCCAACCUAGCCAACCGAUCCACAUCACGAUCCAACUCCUUCUUACCCUCUCCAAUAUGCGUAACACUACCCAUAGAUAUCCUAUUAAGGGCAUCCACCACUACAUUGGCCUUUCCCGAGUGAUACAACACACUCAUAUCAUAGUCUUUCAAUAACUUUAACCACCUUCUCUGCCUAAGAUUCAACUCUCUCUGGGUAAAAACAUACUGCAGACUCUUAUAAUCAGUAAAAACAUCAACAUGAACACUAUACAAUUAGUGUCUCCAGAUUUUCAGAGCAAACAGAACAACAGCUAACUCAAGAUCAUGGGUGGGGUAAUUCUUCUAAUGGGGUUUCAGCUGUCUAGAGGCAUAGGGUAUAACCUUACCUCUCUGCAUCAGUACACAACCCAAACCAACUCUAGAAGCAUCACAAUAUACCACAAAACCAUCAAUGCCAUCAGGCAGAGUCAAAAUAGGGGUUGUAGUGAGUCGAGUCUUCAACUCCCGAAAACUAUUCUUAAAAAAAUUGGACCACAAGAACUUCACUUUCUUUUGGGUUAAUCGGGUCAUAGGAGAUGCUAUAGAGGAGAAACCUUCAACAAAAUGGUGGUAAUAGCCAGCUAGACCCAAGAAACUUCUAAUGUCAGACGGAGAGACAGGUUUAAGCCAGUUUCUAACAGCUUCUGUUUUCUGGGGAUCAACUUUAAUACCUUCAGAAGAAAUAAUAUGACCAAGAAAAGCAACUGACCUUAGCCAAAAUUCACACUUACUAAACUUGGCACACAAAUGAUGAUCUCUAAGGGUUUGUAAGACGAUAUAGAGAUAAUCUGCAUGUUCAUUCUCACUACGAAAGUAUACUAGAAUGUCUUCUAUAAACACUAUGACAAAGAUAUCAAGAUAUGGCCUGAACACUCAAUUCAUGAGGUCCAUGAAAGCUGCUAGGAUAUUAGUUAUCCCGAAGGACAUAACAAGAAACUAAAAAUGACCAUAACGUGUUUGGAAGGCUAUCUUCGAGAUAUCACAUUCCCUAACUCUGAGUUGAUGAUAGCCAGAGCGAAGGUCUACCUUUGAGAAGUAACUUGAACCUUGCAAUUGAUCAAACAAAUCAUCUAUUCUUGGAAGGGGAUACUUGUUUUUGAUAGUGACUUUGUUAAGCUGGCGAUAGUCAAUGCACAUGCCUAAAGAGCCAUCUUUCUUUCACAUAAAUAGGACAGGUGCACCCCAAGGAGACACACUUGGUCUUAUAAACCUUUAUCUAAGAGAUCUUUGAGUUGCUCUUUCAACUCCUUAAGUUUUGCAGGUGCCAUACGAUAUGGAGGAAUAGAAAUGGGUUAAGUAUCAGGAAAAAGAUCAAUCUUGAAUUCUAUCUCUCUAUCGGGAGGUACCCCUAGAAGAUCUUCCAGAAAAACAUUGGGAAACUCAUUAACAACGUCAACUGACUGGAGAGUUAGAGUCUCAGACUUAGUGUCUUUAACUCUGACUAGGUGAUAAAUGCACUCUUUGGAAAUAAGCUUUCUAGCCUUGAGAUAUAAGAUAAAAUGACUUUUGGGAGAUGUGGAAAUACUAGACCAUUUGAUAACAGACUUAACAGGGAACUGAAAUUUGACUACACGGGUACGACAGUCUAUGGAUGCAUAACAAGAGUGAAGCCAGUCCAUACCCAGAAUAACAUCAAAAUCUACCAUGUCUAACUCUAUCAGAUCAGCAAACAUAACUCUAUGAAGAACAGAAAUAGGACACUUUUUGUACACUUUUUGGGCAACAAUGGAUUAACUCACAGGGGUAGAAACUAGGAGAGGUGUACCAUAUGAAAAAUUGGACCCAGGGUCCAACAACGCAUAAACAUCAAACUGAAAUAUACAAAGCAUGCCAGUAACAACAUCGGGGGAGUCCUACUACUCCUGAUGGGAAGGCAAAAAAUAGAAUCUAUUCUGGCGCUGACCGCCAGCAGUGCUAGAAAAAGCACCAUGAGUAGGAGCUAGUCGAGCUACAGUAGCUGGAGCACUAGAAGUUUGAGCCUGGGGAAGAACAUCACGGUUCCCCUGUCUGGUAUGAGGAUAAUCUCUAAAACCAUGGCCCUCUUGGCCAUAUCCAUAGCAGCCCUUCUGACCCCAUAAACACUUACCCCCGUGAUCCCUACUACACCUGGGUCAUAGUGGACGGUUAGGCCGAUUACUCAUAAUAUUCUGAGAUACGGACAUAGAAGACCUGUUUCCCUAUUCUUGCCUACCUCUAAGAGCUGGAGCACUAGCUGAAAAUGGUGCUGACAUAGAUGAGCAGCUCUGAAACUGAGGGCGAUUCCCUCCUUGUAAUCUGUUCUGACCAUAAGUAGGUUGCUCGAAUCUGGCUCUCUUAUUCCCCCUCACUCUAUCUCUCUCUAUUAUCUUAUCUGAUUUGAUCUGUUGGGCAUGGGUCAUCAGUCUAGAAAGAUUCAUCUCACUAUCAAGCAUAGCUGAUCUACACUCCUUAACCACAUAGCUUGACACCCUUGUUAAGAACCUACCCAUACUGGCUCAGUUGUCGGCUAUCAGAUUUGGGGCAUAUUUUGCUAACUGAUUGAACUUCAAGCAAUAAUCCAUAACAGUCAAGGAGCCUUGCCAUAAUUUCAUGAACUCCUCUACUUUCACCUAUCUCAACUCUAGCGGAAAGAAUUUAUCCAAGAAUGCAUCCUGGAACUCCUACUAAGUCAUAGGACAACACCCUCUACUCUACUCUUUCUCCAUGCAACCACCCAGUGAUAUGCAAGGUGUUUAAAUCUGUAGGAAGCUAACUCAACACUCUCCUCCUUAGACACGUGCAUUACCUAUGUGAUCUUCCUUAUCUCCUCCGGAUACAACUGCGGAUCUUCACCUACCUUGGACCCAUAAAACUCUGGUGGAUUCAUCCAUAUAAAGUCACGGAUUCUUGCGACAGCUAAGUCACCUCCCUAUUGUUGUGGAGCUGGGGCCUGGUUGGCCUGAACAUUGGCGAUAACAGCUUGGGCAAGCGCCUGAAAGGCUGCCCCAAACUCAGCAUGGAAUACAUUCUUAUUUAGGGGAUCAGCAGGCUGAGGUUACUGACCCGCGUUAUUUCUUUUAGCUUGGCGAGGAAGUAUAUUCGGAAAGAAGAGAGCACGAAUUAAUAGCUAAAAGGGAACAACUGUAAGCACGAUAGACUUCUAAAAUAAUAAAAUGACCCUUUUUUUUCUAAAAUGUUUUGUAGCCUAUUGCUCAUAGAUAUGACAUGCUACACAUCGAUGAUCAAGACUCUACUUAACACGGCUUGUCAGACUCCCUAGGACUCAAAUAACCUUAGGCUCAGAUACCAAGUUUGUAACGCCUCAAAAACGAGCCCCAAGGCAUCACACGAUGCUUAAGGCUACAAGUAGCCCAAACCUAAAACGUUUAGCCAUUUUUCUACCAUUCAACACUUAUAAUCAAAGUCAUCAUAAUCAAAACAUCUAAGCAUCCACCAUAAUAUCAUACUGCAAUACAAAUGAAAUAUGGAAAGUAAAAAAAUAAGACAUCUCUAAAAAAUCUGAUUAAUCUAUCCAUCUAGUCUGACAAGACUCUACUAAACUGUAUAUCCAUGAGGCGUUGGGACAAACCCUAAAUGACCUAAACUCAAGAAAAUAAAUUGAACGACUCAAAGUAAAUAAGGAAAUAUGAAUAACUAGUCCUCGAGCCAUAAGGACUCACCACUGCAGAGGAUGUAGAUCAACGUGCUCGGAUAAUCACAGUCAAACCUAGGAAUGAGCACCUAAACCUACAUUAUAGGGAAAAUGUAGCCCACAUGCGAACAUGUGGGGUAGUACCAUGGAAUAUGUACCGAGUACAUGGGGGUGUAUGAACUAAACAUAUUUAUAUGCAUAUAUAUAUAUAUAUAUAUAUAUAUAAUGAUCAUCUCAUAAGUUUUCUUUCCAAAUCAUGCAAGACAUUUGUAAAUGGCUCAUAAACCUUGAAAGAAAUCUAAAAUCUGAAAUCAUACAUAAUGAAUGGUAAAACAUGCCAAUCUGGAUAUCAUGAACCAUUACCCUUAAUCCAAAUAUCAAGAUUCUUUUCUUAUUCUCUCAUCAAGCAAUCUUAGUGAAAUCUUGAAUAUUGAAUACAUCAUAAAUCUGCAUUUCAAAUCUCUUUUGAAUCAGUAAAAUCAAUCUAAGAAUGAGGGAUGACUCUUUGGGAGGUUCUUAUAAUAGACAUAUACACCAUAUGAGCACCCAUGAUGUCUCACGACUUGCCCCCGUAAGGUUAGGGUUGUCCUACCCUUGCCAUUGUUGUAGAACAAUCUCAUCUCAGUUAUCACUAUCUCAAUUUUCCACACAUAGUGGAAGUCAAUGUCUCAACCUACGGUGGCACAUAGUUCUAGGAAAUGAAACCAUAGUAACAUACCCAACUUGGUGCUAAAUACUACUCCCAAUACUAUGCUUAAAAAUCUCAAGAAAAAUCCACUUUAAGGGUAAUCUCAUAUUUCUUAAGUUAAAUAAAUGAUAAAAUCCAUAACUCGUUUCAUAAAGUAGAUUUUAACUC
rnacentral:lncRNA from 1 species